AGUGAACGCUGGCGGUAGGCCUAACACAUGCAAGUCGAACGGCAGCACAGUAAGAGCCUGCUCUUACGGGUGGCGAGUGGCGGACGGGUGAGGAAUACAUCGGAAUCUACUUUUUCGUGGGGGAUAACGUAGGGAAACUUACGCUAAUACCGCAUACGACCUACGGGUGAAAGCAGGGGAUCUUCGGACCUUGCGCGAUUGAAUGAGCCGAUGUCGGAUUAGCUAGUUGGCGGGGUAAAGGCCCACCAAGGCGACGAUCCGUAGCUGGUCUGAGAGGAUGAUCAGCCACACUGGAACUGAGACACGGUCCAGACUCCUACGGGAGGCAGCAGUGGGGAAUAUUGGACAAAGGGCGCAAGCCUGAUCCAGCCAUACCGCGUGGGUGAAGAAGGCCUUCGAGUUGUAAAGCCCUUUUGUUGGGAAAGAAAAGCAGCAGGUUAAUACCCCGCUGUUCUGACGGUACCCAAAGAAUAAGCACCGGCUAACUUCGUG
rnacentral:rRNA from 1 species